UAGGUGUGAGCUGGGAAAUCAGAGCAGAGAGCUGAAAAAAAUCAUAAGGCACUGGAAGUGAGGGGAAAAAAAACCUACAGGGCACGAACUGAUGGAGAGCUGUGGAUGCAGCUCUGACAUGAAACAUGGAGAGAACAUUGUCCAGCCCAAGAAAUCUCCAGGCACUGUCAGGAGCUGCAGCUGAGAACCCCCAGCUGCGCUCCUCUGUCGCUGUGGGUGUUGCAGGACUGCACAAUCUGCUUUAAAGCAUGUUUUUCACUUCUACACAAACUUGUUAAAAAUACUCCUCCUUUGUAGAAUAAAAGAGAAGAUUUGCCCUCCUUAUUCCA
rnacentral:lncRNA from 1 species